rnacentral:tRNA from 2 species
GCGGGUGUAGCUCAAUGGUAGAGCCUCAGCCUUCCAAGCUGAUGGUGCGGGUUCGAUUCCCGUCACCCGCUCCA